rnacentral:tRNA from 1 species
CAUGAUGCUUGAGUGAUUUUUAUUCUUAAGCCAUGAUCAUGUCACCUUAGGUCGAUCGGUACCUCAGGUCUAAUAUUCAAGUUCUUUUUGAGAAAUCAUAUUUGAAUUUGAUUAAUGACAUCAGUUCCUAAACUUGUCUAGGUCACACCCCGCAAGGGUACUCCUGGGCCAUUAGCUCAGGUGGUUAGAGCGCACCCCUGAUAAGGGUGAGGUCCCUGGUUCAAGUCCAGGAUGGCCCAUUCGGUGUUGGGGGUAUAGCUCAGUUGGUAGAGCGCCUGCUUUGCAAGCAGGAUGUCAGCGGUUCGAGUCCGCUUACCUCCACUGAUCAACCUCCUUACAUUGAAUUUAGAGGAGAUUGACUUUGUUAGAUGUGAUUUAGAUGUUGUUCAACUGAAAGAACCUAGCUUCUUAUCAUUCCAUUCAAUUGAGAAUUAGAUUGGUUGAUAUGACGCUGGGCUCACUGAAAUUAUUUAAUUUCAGUUAAGUUCAGUAGAACCUUGACAACUGCAUAGGUGAGUCUGGAAAGAAUUAAAGCAUCUCAUGGAUGCAUUUUUCUUUUAUCAAUUACUGUUUUUUAUUAUAUAGAAAACAGUCUUUUGCUUAUUAGAAAUAUGCCCAAUUCUUGACUAAGAGCUGAGAAUCUAUUGUG